GGCGCAGCUCUUGCUGUAGCCCUGCUACAGGUAGCCAAUGGCGGCUGCUCAAAAACGACAAAGACGUCGC
rfam:Pseudomonadales bacterium RIFCSPHIGHO2_02_FTLL_60_43 rifcsphigho2_02_scaffold_30880, whole genome shotgun sequence.